rnacentral:rRNA from 1 species
UACGGAGGGUGCGAGCGUUGUCCGGAAUCACUGGGCGUAAAGGGCGCGUAGGCGGCCUGAUAAGUAGGGGGUGAAAUCCUGCGGCUUAACCGCAGGACUGCCUUCUAAACUGUCAGGCUCGAGCACAGUAGAGGCAGGUGGAAUUCACGGUGUAGCGGUGGAAUGCGUAGAGAUCGGGAAGAACAUCAGUGGCGAAGGCAGCCUGCUGGGCUUUUGCUGACGCUGAGACACGACAGCCUGGGGAGCAAACAGG